AACCAAGGAAUUUAGUCAUUUUUUUCGGUAAAAAGAUAGUUAGGCAGAAUAAAAUCAUUAGACCUUUAGUAUAGGAGUAAAAUCUAAAUACUAAGAGUUAUAUCAGGUGUGGUUUAUUUUAGAUGCUGAGUCUAUGACGACUUUAAGGGAAACUGGGAUUGGAUACCCCAUUAUUUUUAGUAGUAAAUUUGAUUUAAGUUUACCAGAGUACUACGAAUUAAAAAAUUUAAAACUCAAAGAGCUUGGCGGUGUUUUAGACCUCUCAGGGGAACCUGUCUCAUAAUCGACAAUCCACGUUAGACCUGACCCUCUAUGGCAAUUCAGCCUGUAUACCGUUGUCGUCAGGUAACUUCUUAAAAUAUAGUAGUUAGCUCGAGAAUAUUAUUAAUUAGUACGUCAAAUCAAGGUGCAGCUAAUAAGAGGGAGAGGAUGGGUUACAAUUACAUAUUUGUAAUUACGAAAAACAGCUUAAACAAAGCGUUGGAAGGAGGACUUGAAAGUAAUUUUAAUUAUAUAAAGAAAAUGAAUAGGGCUCUGAAACGUGC
rnacentral:rRNA from 1 species